UACGUAGGGCGCAAGCGUUAUCCGGAAUUAUUGGGCGUAAAGAGCUCGUAGGCGGUUUGUCGCGUCUGCCGUGAAAGUCCGGGGCUCAACUCCGGAUCUGCGGUGGGUACGGGCAGACUAGAGUGAUGUAGGGGAGACUGGAAUUCCGGGUGUAGCGGUGAAAUGCGUAGAUAUCCGGAGGAGCACCGGUGGCGAAGGCGGCUUCCUGGACCGACACUGACGCUGAGGCGCGAAAGCUAGGGGAGCAAACGGG
rnacentral:rRNA from 1 species